UACGUAGGUGGCAAGCGUUGUCCGGAUUUACUGGGCGUAAAGGGCGCGUAGGCGGCCGCUCAAGUCGGGGGUGAAAGCCUGUGGCUUAACCACAGAAUUGCCUUCGAUACUGUUUGGCUUGAGACCGGAAGAGGUGAGUGGAACUGCGAGUGUAGAGGUGAAAUUCGUAGAUAUUCGCAAGAACACCAGUGGCGAAGGCGGCUCACUGGUCCGGUUCUGACGCUGAGGCGCGAAAGCGUGGGGAGCAAACAGG
rnacentral:rRNA from 1 species